rnacentral:rRNA from 1 species
UGGGGGGGGAAAGAACAACAGGGAUUGCCCCAGUAACGGCGAGUGAAGCGGCAACAGCUCAAAUUUGAAAUCUGGCCCCCGGGUCCGAGUUGUAAUUUGCAGAGGAUGCUUCGGGCGAGGUGCCUUCCGAGUUCCCUGGAACGGGACGCCACAGAGGGUGAGAGCCCCGUCUGGUCGGACACCGAGCCCGUGUGAAGCUCCUUCGAAGAGUCGAGUAGUUUGGGAAUGCUGCUCAAAACGGGAGGUAUAUGUCUUCUAAAGCUAAAUAUUGGCCAGAGACCGAUAGCGCACAAGUAGAGUGAUCGAAAGAUGAAAAGCACUUUGAAAAGAGGGUUAAAAAGUACGUGAAAUUGUUGAAAGGGAAGCGCCCAUGACCAGACUUGGGCCCGGUGAAUCACCCGGCGUUCUCGCCGGUGCACUUUGCCGGGCACAGGCCAGCAUCAGUUUGGCGCGGGGGAGAAAGGCUUCGGGAACGUGGCUCCCUCGGGAGUGUUAUAGCCCGCUGCGCAAUACCCUGCGCCGGACUGAGGUACGCGCAUCGCAAGGAUGCUGGCGUAAUGGUCAUCAGCGACCCGUCUUGAAACACGGACCAAGGAGUCGUCUUCGUAUGCGAGUGUUCGGGUGUCAAACCCCUACGCGGAAUGAAAGUGAACGCAGGUGAGAGCUUCGGCGCAUCAUCGACCGAUCCUGAUGUUCUCGGAUGGAUUUGAGUAAGAGCAUACGGGGCCGGACCCGAAAGAAGGUGAACUAUGCCUGUAUAGGGUGAAGCCAGAGGAAACUCUGGUGGAAGCUCGCAGCGGUUCUGACGUGCGAAUCGAUCGUCAAAUAUGGGCAUGGGGGCGAAAGACUAAUCGAACCUUCUAGUAGCUGGUUUCCGCGAGU